rnacentral:rRNA from 1 species
UACGUAGGGUGCAAGCGUUGUCCGGAAUUAUUGGGCGUAAAGAGCUCGUAGGCGGUCUGUCGCGUCUGCUGUGAAAACUCGGGGCUUAACCCCGGGCCUGCAGUGGGUACGGGCAGACUAGAGUGCGGUAGGGGAGACUGGAAUUCCUGGUGUAGCGGUGAAAUGCGCAGAUAUCAAGAGGAACACCUGCGGCGAAGGCGGGUUGCUGGGCCGACACUGACGCUGAGGCGCGAAAGCUAGGGGAGCGAACGGG